GACCCCGUAGUUCAACGGAUAGAAUAGAAGUUUCCUAAACUUUUGAUACAGGUUCGAUUCCUGUCGGGGUCG
rnacentral:tRNA from 1 species